ACUUUGAAGAACAACCUCUCUCUCUCUCUCUACUUAAUCUCUUUCUCUCUCUAGAUUUACUGUCCCUCAAAUUCCCACAUGCUUGGGAUUUUCUCUUUCUCUUUCUUUCGUUUUCUCACCCGCCAAACAUGUACUAAUAUAUAUAUAGCUAUAUAUAGCUAGCUUAAAACAACCCUAAACUACUCCACUGUCAAAUCAAUCUGUGAGCUUACAGCACCAAGAAAAAAAAAAGAAGAUUUUUUUUUUAUAAGCACAUAAUCACAGUCAACGUUUAGCUACCCAGAGACUUUGACACCUGUAACCCCAGAAUCUAAUUAAUCCAAACAUUGUUCAAGGGACUGAAACAGCCAGCAAAGGGUUGAGAGAGAGAAGAACUAAAAGCACAAACAGGCACAGCACAGCAACCAACAGCAGCACCACCAUCACUCACCUCUCUCUGCAAUACUGCAAAAAGCUUAAAAGAGAGAGAGAAAGAGAGUGAGAGAGAGAGAGAGAGAGUCCUCUUCUUCUCUUCACUGACUUAGACUGUGAUAUAUCAAAGCGUAAAAAAAGGUCUUUUUAUCAAUACAAAAGCCAAAGUACUCUCUGAAUUAUCGUCAUCAAUGCAAUAGGACACAGCCAAGCCCAACCCCACCUGCACCUCUCAUCAACUCUUUACCUCUUUCUCUUUCAUACUCACCAAUUUCUCUCUCUCCUCUUUUUUCUCCCAUGUCUAAAGGAUAAGAACAAGAAGAAGAAGAAGAAGAAGAAGAAGAAGAAGAAGAAGAAGAAGAGGGAGUAAAGAUUGAAGCUUUUGAGUUAAAAGUGAAGACUUUUUGAAUGAGUUCGACUUGGGUUAUCUGUUUUAGUUUAGAAAAGGCAUGAAAGUACUGCUGUUAUGGAGGUGGAGGAGAUUCAAGCUCAAGCCUUAAAGUACUCGAGGAUUAAUGAAAAUGGCAGUAGGAAAGGGGGAAACGAAAAUUACCCACCUGAUGAAGAACAAGAAGAAGGGAGUCGAGAGAUCAAAAGGGUUGCCGGUGCCGGAGCUGCUACUACUACUGACCUAUCUAUCGUUAACGGCGGCGGAGGAGCUGGAGCCAAUCGGCUUCGAGGGUGGCACCAUUCUUCAAGAAUUAUUAGGGUUUCGAGAGCUUCAGGUGGUAAAGAUCGGCACAGUAAAGUAUGGACAUCGAAAGGGUUAAGAGACCGGCGAGUUAGGUUAUCGGUAACGACGGCGAUUCAUUUCUACGACCUUCAAGAUCGAUUGGGUUUCGAUCAACCCAGUAAAGCUGUUGAAUGGUUAAUCAAUGCGGCUUCGGAAGCCAUUGCUGAGCUUCCUUCUCUCAACGGCUCUUUUCCCGAUACUCCUAAACAGCUUAGCGAUGAGAAGAGGGGUAGUGUUGGAACCAACACCGGCGGCGGAGAACAAGGGUUUGAUUCAGCUGAGGUUGAAAUGGACGGUAUCAAUUACCAUCAUCAUCAACAUCUUCAAUUAGAUCAGCAAAAUCAAAAUCAAAACCAAAAUCAGCCUUUGUCUAAAUCAGCUUGUAGUAGUACAUCGGAGACUAGUAAAGGCUCCGGCUUGUCUCUUUCCCGGUCCGAUAUUCGGGUUAACCGAGUUAAGGCCAGGGAGAGAGCUAGAGAGAGAGCCGCUAAAGAGAAAGAGAAAGAGAAUGAGUCAAGAAUUGUUGUUCACCACAACGACAACCCCAACAACAACAACAAUCUCAAUUCCAUUUCUCAAAAUUCAACCUUUACUGAGCUUCUCACAGCUGGAAUGAGUAACAACAGCAACAACAACAACAACAACAACAACAACAGUUCUAGUCCCAAUACCCAACAAAACCCAGGUGCUCAUAUGGAUUACUUUGCAUCAGGGCUACUUGGGUUAUCUUCUUCUUCAUCAUCUGUUUCAAGAACACAACAACAACAUCAUCAUAACCAGUCUUCUUCUGGGUUUUCUGGGCAAAUAAUCAAUCUUGGUAACUCAUUACAACAGCAGCAUAAUAUGUCAAUGUCUAUGUUUGGUGAUCACAAUCAUAAUCAUCAUCAUCAUCAUCAACAACAACAACAACAACAUAAUGGUGAUCAGAAUAAUCAGAGUCAUCAUCAGAGUACAGUAGUACUGCAACCACCACAACAUUUCUCAUUUGUUCCUGAACAACAUCUCAUUCCGGUGGUUGCUGCUUCUGCUGCCACGUCAUCCCAACCCAACGGCGGAGGCAAUGGUGGUGGGGGUGGGGUUGUUGAUUACAACCUCAACUUCUCUAUCUCUUCAUCCGGAGGCCUUGCUGGUUUCAAUAGGGGGACCCUUCAGUCCAAUUCACCGUCUCUUUUGCCUCAUUUUCAGAGGUUUUCUCCCAUAGACGGAACAAACAAUCUACCCUUCUUUAUAGGAGCAGCACCUCCCGCUCCGGCUCAGGCUCAGGCAGCUGCUCCUUCCAUGGAGAAUCAACACCAACACCAACAUCAACAUCACCACAACCACAACCACCAUCAUCAAUUCCCAACUGGGUUUGUUGAUGGCCGAUUGCAACUCUGUUACGGCGAUGGAAACCGCCAUAAUUCUGACCACCACCACAACCACAACAGCCACCACCAGCAUCAGCAGCAGCAGCACAAAGGAAAAGGAAAGAACUGAACUUUAUUAAUGGGCAUAUGAAGAUUCCUCUUGGCAACAUGUUCUUCUUUCUGAAAAAGUGAAGAUAUAUAAAAGAAAUGGUGGGAAAAGUUAGCUGGAGGCAAAGAGUGAAGCCUACUUUCCUUGAUCAGAUGAUUGCUUAUAUUAAAAUGCUUCUGAUACACUUUGAUGAUAUUUUCUACAUUAAUCUCCCUUUUUGAAGCCAUUCAGCUUCCCAUUCAUAUAAUUCGGAUAUAUAUCUAUAUAUUUAUGUAUGUGUGUAUUAUUAUUAUUAUAAUUAAUCAUGUUUUUGAUGAAAUUUAGCUGACAAUUCCAGUAAAGUAAUUCUUUUUUCCUUACAAAA